AUUGAACGCUGGCGGCAUGCCUUACACAUGCAAGUCGAACGGCAGCACGGGAGCAAUCCUGGUGGCGAGUGGCGAACGGGUGAGUAAUACAUCGGAACGUGCCCAAUCGUGGGGGAUAACGUAGCGAAAGCUACGCUAAUACCGCAUACGAUCUACGGAUGAAAGCGGGGGAUCGCAAGACCUCGCGCGAAUGGAGCGGCCGAUGGCAGAUUAGGUAGUUGGUGAGGUAAAGGCUCACCAAGCCUGCGAUCUGUAGCUGGUCUGAGAGGACGACCAGCCACACUGGGACUGAGACACGGACCAGACUCCUACGGGAGGCAGCAGUGGGGAAUUUUGGACAAUGGGUGCAAGCCUGAUCCAGCAAUGCCGCGUGCAGGAUGAAGGCCUUCGGGUUGUAAACUGCUUUUGUACGGAACGAAACGGUCCUUUCUAAUACAAGGGGCUAAUGACGGUACCGUAAGAAUAAGCACCGGCUAACUACGUGCCAGCCGCCGCAGUAA
rnacentral:rRNA from 1 species